rnacentral:tRNA from 1 species
UCUGAUAUGGCUAAGUUGGUAGAGCGCAUCCUUGGUAAGGUUGAGGUCCCCAGUUCGACUCUGGGUAUCAGCACCA